rnacentral:rRNA from 1 species
AAUGAACGCUGGCGGCAGGCCUAACACAUGCAAGUCGAACGAGAGCCGGACGGGUGAGUAAAGUCCGGGAAACUGCCUGAUGGAGGGGGAUAAUUACCGGAAACGGUAGCUAAUACCACAUAUCAUGAGAAGUGUCGAGAUGGGUUUAGCUAGUUGUUGGGGUAACGGCUGACCAAGGCGACGAUCCCUAGCUGGUCGGAGAGGAUGACCAGCCACACUGGAUCGGAGACGCGGUCCAGUCUCCUACGGUAGGGAACACUGGAGAAUAUAGCAUUAUGGGAUCAGCGCUGAUGCAGACAUGCCGCGUGUAUGAAGAGGGCCUUCGGCUGGUAGAGUACUUUCAGCGGUGAAGCGUUACCCGCAGAAGAAGCACCGGCUAACUCCGUGCCAGCCGCCGCGGUAAUUC